AGCAUAAUCCAAAAAGCGGAGGAAAAGAAACCAACAGGGAUUGCCUCAGUAACGGCGAGUGAAGCGGCAAAAGCUCAAAUUUGAAAUCCCCCGGGAAUUGUAAUUUGAAGAGAUUUGGGUCCGGCCGGCGGGGGUUAAGUCCACUGGAAAGUGGCGCCACAGAGGGUGACAGCCCCGUGAACCCCUUUAACGCCCUCAUCCCAGAUCUCCAAGAGUCGAGUUGUUUGGGAAUGCAGCUCUAAGUGGGUGGUAAAUUCCAUCUAAAGCUAAAUACCGGCGAGAGACCGAUAGCGAACAAGUACAGUGAUGGAAAGAUGAAAAGCACUUUGAAAAGAGAGUGAAAAAGUACGUGAAAUUGUUGAAAGGGAAGGGCUUGCAAGCAGACACUUAACUGGGCCAGCAUCGGGGCGGCGGGAAACAAAACCACCGGGGAAUGUACCUUUCGAGGAUUAUAACCCCGGUCCUUAUUUCCUUGCUGACCCCGAGGCCUGCAAUCUAAGGAUGCUGGCGUAA
rnacentral:rRNA from 2 species